UACGAAGGGUGCAAGCGUUAAUCGGAAUUACUGGGCGUAAAGGGCGCGUAGGCGGUCAGCACAAGUCAGUUGUGAAAUCUCCGGGCUUAACUCGGAAAGGUCAACUGAUACUGUGCGACUAGAGUGCAGAAGGGGCAACUGGAAUUCUCGGUGUAGCGGUGAAAUGCGUAGAUAUCGAGAGGAACACCUGCGGCGAAGGCGGGUUGCUGGGCUGACACUGACGCUGAGGCGCGAAAGCUAGGGUAGCAAACGGG
rnacentral:rRNA from 1 species